rnacentral:rRNA from 1 species
CCCUUAGAUGUUCUGGGCUGCACACGUGCUACACUGGCAGGUUCAGCGAGCUUCAUGCCCUGAUCUGAAAGGAAUGGGAAAUCUUUUCAAAACCUGCCGUGCUUGGGAUAGAUGUUUGCAAUUAUUCAUCUUCAACGAGGAUUGCCUUGUAAGCGCACGUCAACAGCGUGCAUUGAAUACGACCCUGUAUUCUGUACACACCGCCCGUCGCUCCUACCGAUUGAAGUUUUCGGUGAGUUGACAGGAGGAUUUUUUUGAAACUGGUUCGCCAGUGGAUUUUAGAUCCAAAUGCCAACGAAUCGAUGGCUUUAGAGGAAGGAGAAGUCGUAACA